rnacentral:tRNA from 1 species
GAGGCCUUAGCUCAGCUGGGAGAGCACCUGCCUUGCACGCAGGGGGUCAAGGGUUCGAAUCCCUUUAUCUCCACCA